rnacentral:rRNA from 1 species
AGAGUUUGAUCAUGGCUCAGAUUGAACGCUGGCGGCAUGCCUUACACAUGCAAGUCGAGCGGCAGCGCGGGGGCAACCCUGGCGGCGAGCGGCGGACGGGUGAGUAAUACAUCGGAACGUGUCCUUUCGUGGGGGAUAACCAGUCGAAAGACUGGCUAAUACCGCAUGAGAUCUCACGAUGAAAGCGGGGGACCGCAAGGCCUCGCGCGAUUGGAGCGGCCGAUGUCGGAUUAGCUAGUUGGCGGGGUAAAAGCCCACCAAGGCAACGAUCCGUAGCUGGUUUGAGAGAACGACCAGCCACACUGGGACUGAGACACGGCCCAGACUCCUACGGGAGGCAGCAGUGGGGAAUUUUGGACAAUGGGGGCAACCCUGAUCCAGCCAUGCCGCGUGUGUGAAGAAGGCCUUCGGGUUGUAAAGCACUUUCGGCCGGGACAAAAUCGCGCGGAUUAAUAACCCGCGUGGAUGACGGUACCGGAAGAAGAAGCACCGGCUAACUACGUGCCAGCAGCCGCGGUAAUACGUAGGGUGCGAGCGUUAAUCGGAAUUACUGGGCGUAAAGGGUGCGCAGGCGGUUCUGCAAGUCAGGCGUGAAAUCCCCGGGCUUAACCUGGGAAUGGCGCUUGAAACUACGGGACUGGAGUAUGGCAGAGGGAGGUGGAAUUCCACGUAGCGGUGAAAUGCGUAGAGAUGUGGAGGAACACCGAUGGCGAAGGCAGCCUCCUGGGCCAAUACUGACGCUCAUGCACGAAAGCGUGGGGAGCAAACAGGAUUAGAUACCCUAGUAGUCC